GACGAACCGUCCAAACGUUAUUCGGAAUUAUUGGGCUUAAAGGGUGCGUAGGCUGUGCAGUAAGUUGGGUGUGAAAUCCCUCGGCUCAACCGAGGAACUGCGCCGAAUACUGCUGUGCUAGAGGAAGAUAGGGGUAAGCGGAACUGAUGGUGGAGCGGUGAAAUGCGUUGAUAUCGUCAGGAACACCGGUGGCGAAGGCGGCUUACUGGAUCUUUUCUGACGCUGAUGCACGAAAGCUAGGGGAGCGAACGGG
rnacentral:rRNA from 1 species